UGUAUUGGUCCUCCUUACAUUACAUUGCUGAUCUCUACUUGUGGUGAUACCAUAGAGAGAAACUUGCAAAAGAACUUGUGAGGUUUCUGUAGCUUCUUACUGCUUCCUCAGUGGCCUCUAGCUGGUUGCCAAGUCUUGGGGUUUCUUCUGGAUUGAACUUCCCUGGCUGGAUCAUGUGUGGUGACUGCCAAGUGGACUGGAUUGCAGGAUAAAUAUUAGGCAUAAUUAGAAGCUGACCUAUGUGUAUGCUGAAAGCCAUCAAAAGAAGAAUCCUACCAUCAAUAGAAGAGCAUCUUACUAUCUGGGCCAACAUCAACUCAUAUAAUCAACUAGAACAUCAUUGAAGUAAUUUUAAAAAUUCUGCAGUGAAGAAAAUGGAAAGUUGAUGUUAAAGCUGCAAAAAGAAUCACAUCAUUUACAC